UCGUGCGAGCUACACAUGCAGUCGAGCGGUAGAGAGAAGCUUGCUUCUCUUGAGAGCGGCGGACGGGUGAGUAAUGCCUAGGAAUCUGCCUGGUAGUGGGGGAUAACGUUCGGAAACGGACGCUAAUACCGCAUACGUCCUACGGGAGAAAGCAGGGGACCUUCGGGCCUUGCGCUAUCAGAUGAGCCUAGGUCGGAUUAGCUAGUUGGUGGGGUAAUGGCUCACCAAGGCGACGAUCCGUAACUGGUCUGAGAGGAUGAUCAGUCACACUGGAACUGAGACACGGUCCAGACUCCUACGGGAGGCAGCAGUGGGGAAUAUUGGACAAUGGGCGAAAGCCUGAUCCAGCCAUGCCGCGUGUGUGAAGAAGGUCUUCGGAUUGUAAAGCACUUUAAGUUGGGAGGAAGGGCAGUAAAUUAAUACUUUGCUGUUUUGACGUUACCGACAGAAUAAGCACCGGCUAACUCUGUGCCAGCAGCCGCGGUAAUACAGAGGGUGCAAGCGUUAAUCGGAAUUACUGGCCGUAAAGCGCGCGCAGGUGGUUAGUUAAGUUGAAUGUCCCGUCCC
rnacentral:rRNA from 1 species